CAGGCCGCUUCAGGUACGAAGGGUGGGUCAAGUGGGUCCCCAGUCAUUGAUUGGCAGGGCAGGGCUGUCGCCUUGAAUGCUGGGAGCAAGUCGUCUAGUGCUUCAGCCUUCUUCUUGCCUCUGGAACGUGUUGUAAGGGCAUUAAAACUUCUUCAGACCAGCAGUGAGUCUUAUGUGACUAAGUGGAAGGCAAUAUCCAUUCCUCGCGGUACACUCCAGAUGACCUUUGUCCAUAAAGG